UUCCUUUUUCUUUGUUUUUUCCCUCUUCCCUUCACUUCUUCUUCUAGCCGUCGACACCCCCUCCCUCAAAAAUUUUCCUCCUCUCCGUCAAGCCCUAAGCAGCCUCCAGCUGUCUGUCUGCAUCGGAUCUGAAGAUUCGAUGUCGCGCCACUCUCGAUCGAUGCCUCAGACAGCCACGCGUCCAUCCAAAGCAGUAUGCCGCUUUUCGUCUGCGAUCCAAAGCCACCAGCGUUGUUAGCCCGCGCCGCGCCAAAUCCAGAGUUCACCAGUCUCGACUUCAGCACCAACCACUCCCUCACCCAGUCAAGCCGCUUGUUUAAAUCUUCUCCACCACUCGAGCUAGCCGCAUCCAUCCAAGCGUCGCCUUGCAGCCACUGUCGUUCACUGUUCGUUCGUCCCUCGGCCGUGUCUCUGUUAUUUGCUGAGUGUUUGUUAAGGUUAAAUUGAAGUUUUGAGAAAAUUCUGAGGCGUUGUCGAGCUUCAUGGAAGGGAAAAUUUCGGCAAGUGUUGAUCCAAGAUUGGAGUAGUUUGGAGUGCGCAACAUGCUGUUCAGCGGGUUCGGGUUCGUUUCCAACAAGAAAUUUGGUUUAAGGUCGCUAUCCAUCAGAACUAGAUGUUGUGUUUAUUUGUGGAAUUUAGUGGAGAUUUUGGUGCCAAAGCUUAGAAUUGACCGUUGAUCAAGCCACACUUUAGGUAAAGGUAGAGGUGCACCGGCGAUUGAUAAGCGGAAUUCGUGAUCGAGCCACUGGGACUAGUUUUAUGCUUCCGCUCAUGAUAUUUAGAUUUCUUUUCAUGUUUUUUUUAACUUUCAAUUUAAUGUUUGAAACUUACUAUUAAGAUUUGUGUUCAUACCUGUUUAUAAUCAUUUAAGGUUUAUGGGCACCCUAUUGUUUGUUUUUAAUAUCUGAAUUUAAUGAAGGCCUUUUGAGUUCAACUCAUUUAUUUAGCAUUUAUUUCACUAUAAAAAGGGUGUCGUUUUAUGUUUCAUGCAUGCAUGUGUUUAGUAACGACCUAAUUUGAGUCCUAGGGGGUUAGGUCAUUACAUUCGCCGUGUUGUUCAAAUCGUUUCUUUGUUGCCUUCUCCCUCUUGAUUUUCCGAUUUUCUGAUCUUCCUCUUGGUUUUUCGGUGAAUAUAGUGAGUCAGUAACCAUACUGUUCGAAGCGUUCUGUGGCUGUUCUGUUCCAAGUGGAGCGUCGGUCCACCGUCGGCUUCCUCAUUUCUGUCGUUGUUCUCCGGCUCGUUUGCGGCGAUCCCACCUUUUCCUCUUGAAAUCGAACGUCUAAAUCUUCGCUCCACCGCUCGUCUUCCAUCCUUCUAACCUCCGGUUUUAUCCUUCGUCUGGUUGAUUGUGAAGGCAUAUGGAUUCCUAAAGAGUAAAUGUAUGGAUAGCAAGUGAUGAGGACUUGCAACUUGGUUUGGAUAAUGUCAAUGAAAAUAUGGAACUGAAGCAAGAUGAAAUACCAAACAAAAAGAACAGGUGAACGCGAGGACUGACUAAUAUGAAUGAGGUAACAAAAAUUAGAAGUGUAAGGGAGAAAAAGUUGGUUGAAUAUAAUGAGGAUGGAGUACCGAUUGGAUAUAAGUUGAAAUCUUUCAUCGGAUUUAUUGUGCAUCAUCAUAUCCCAAUUACAUAUACAUCUUGGAAGUGUGUACCGACUGUUAAAUAUUGUUAAGGGUGCUUUCAUAAUUGAUGGUAGAAGUAAGAAGGCUAUUCUCAAAACUGCGGGCGUUGCAUUUCGUCAAUUCAAGUCUUGGUUAAGACACAAUAUAUUGUCCCUUUUAAGGGAUGAACCCCAACUUUUAUUACACCCACCUUCGAUGUACUCCCACAUAAUUAAAACCUAUCAAUGGCAAGAGUUUGUCAAAUCGAGAUUAUGUCUGGAGUUCGAGAAAGUCAGAAAUCAACAACAAGCAUGAAGAAAGAAGAACAAGUAUAAUCAUCGGAUGUCCAGAAGAGGUUAUACAAAUCUUGUCGAGGAAAUGAAAAAAUUACCUUCAUCCAGCAAAUGUGAUUUUUGACGAGAUAAUAUGUGGAAAAAACUCAGACAAACAAAAAAGGAGAAUAUAUAACAAUGCGGAUGUCCAACAAGUUGCCAACCAAAUAGAUGAGAUAAUAAAGAAUGAAGAUCCACUUCCAAAAAAAAUGAUCACCUAAUGAUGUUUUGACCCAAGCCUUGGGUACUCCAGAAUAUGGUAGACACGGGGGUGGAUGGUUUCAUUACAAAUACCAUUUACUUCUAUACAGCAAAAAGUGAAGGUACAAACAAAAAGAUUGUUGAUGAAAAUGAAGCACUUCGUAAGCGCAUUAAGGAGUUGGAAGAUCAAGUUCAAAACAAGCCAAGAUCUGAGCAUGGUAGUUGCUCCAAGAAUAAAAUCCAAAAGAAGCAAAAUUCAAAUGUUGGGGUCCCAGAGAAGGAAGUUAUUAGUGCAUCAGCCACACAUGGGGAAGGGAAGAAGGAGAAUGUUUCAGAGAAUGCAGGAAAGAAUGAAAAAGUGAUCGCUAUUAAUGUACCACCAAUCUUGAAGGAAAAAGUUUCAAGGACGAUGCCGAAAUAGAUUGAAGUUACUAGUGCACCAUCCAAUUUAUUAAUAUCCUUGAAGUUGAUUCUUAGGUAUGCUGAAAAGGUAAUGGUUGAUAGGAUUAGUAUUUCUUUCCAUCUACUUGUUGAGCUCUUUGGUUUUGGCCGAAAGAGUUAUGUUCGAGAAGAUGUGAUAGAAUUUUGUAGCAUGCAAAAAGUGAAACUUUAUCAAUGGUGGUUUAUAUCGUGUACCUACACUCGUUCAUUGUUGAUUCAAAUAAAGGGUCGAAGUAUAUUUUUGUAGAUUCAUCUCUUAUAUCCGCGGGCAAAAAUACUCGAGAAGUUAGAGCUCGGAACUUUUGUAGUAGAUUAAUGGCUUCCAAACAUGGUCAAUUAGUUAUUGCUCCUUACAAUCCCAAGUAAUUAUAAUUAGUUAUACUCAUGUUCUACCUUUUCCUGUUUUUUUCCAAUGUAGAAUUGUGAUGGGAUCAUUGUACUUGAAAGUUCCUUAUACUCAUGUUC